UACGGAGGGUGCAAGCGUUGUCCGGAAUCACUGGGCGUAAAGGGCGCGUAGGCGGCUCAUGAAGGCUGUGGUGAAAGUCCGGGGCUCAACCUCGGAUCGGCCGUGGCGACUCGUGGGCUGGAGCACUGUAGAGGCGGGUGGAAUUCCGGGUGUAGCGGUGGAAUGCGUAGAUAUUGGGAAGAACACCGGUGGCGAAGGCGGCGACCUGGUCCUUGACUGACGCUGAGGCGCGAAAGCGUGGGGAGCAAACAGG
rnacentral:rRNA from 1 species